AGGAAAACUAAGAUGAAGAAAGUAGUAUAUUAAUAGUGCUUACAGAGAGAAGGAGUUGCUGAGAUCCUUUGGCAAAGUAAUAUAUGAAGUGCACUUCGGAGUUUAAAGUAUGAAAUAUUAGUAGUACUUUAACGGGUCGCCGUUUAUAGCGAAGUUUAAGGUGGAACUAUGUUCAAUUAGAGUGGAACCGCGGAGUAUGACUUCGUCUCUUAU
rnacentral:ncRNA from 1 species